rnacentral:lncRNA from 1 species
UGUAUCGGAGCAGUCAGGUUGUGUUGAUGAGUUGUAUAAUACUGAUCUCUACAAGCCACGUGAAUUUGGUUAUAUAAUUUAUCUCUACAAGUCCCAUGAAUUUGGAUAAAAUAGAUGACGGCUUCAAGGUGUAGAGCUUGAAUCAUUGGUGAGAAGAGACUACAAUACCUCUCAGACUAUUACUAAUACGUAAAUGAAAACAUGACUACUGAAGUGCCCUGAUGAUCUGCAUCAUCCGUUUGCAAAAAACAAAAGGUUCAUUUAUUUACAAAGUUAAAAUUUUCAUUCUAAACUGAGAACUAAUAAACAUCAAACAGGGUGAGCCACAACUUCAAGGGAAAUAAUCUCUUCUAGCCUUUAGGCUCAGCCAUCUUCAUAUUUCACAUGCUAAAAUCAUUAAAAUUUUCAUCAGGAACAUAGAAAUCAAAUUUGACAUCGACAGAGCCAGAAUUUUCACCAUUAUCUUUGUACUCGAUAUUUGUGAUUGUUCCGGUUUCAUCCUCAAUCUGAUAUUCUGGUCUCACCCGACGGACGGGCACUGUGACCGAGUAAACGG